UUACAGAUUGGACCUAUGCAUCUAGAUUAUGAUAGUACAAUUUUUGCAGCCAUCAUUAGAAUCAUAUUAAGAGUGAGCCGUAUAAAUGAACACAAUCCUGUUGGGUCUAUGAUGGAAUUUACCUUCAGUAUAUUUGAAAACAGUCCAACUGAUACACUAGUUGGAAAAAUUACGUUUAUAGAUGAAGACUGGCCAUUCAACAAUAUACACUAUAGCAUUGUUGGAGGCAACCUUGGGAUACGUCCCACAUUUUACAUCGAAUCAGAUACAGGGAUGAUAAAGCUGUUGAGUUCACUGGACAGGGAAGUGACUUCUCAGUAUAAGAUAGCUGUGAAAGUCACAGACAUGGGAAAUGAUGUGCUCCCAGACCCUCUCAGGCAGAGAAGUGCUACUGCUCAGGUGACCAUCAACAUCCUGGUAAGAGUU
ensembl:lincRNA Cdhr17 predicted gene 28710